GACAGAGGCCUCGAGCGUUAGGCGGAAUCACUGGGCUUAAAGCGUGUGUAGGCGGAUCGUUAAGUGUCUUGUGAAAUCCCACGGCUCAACCGUGGAACUGCUGGGCAUACUGGGAGUCUUGGGCCAUUCAGGGGCAACUGGAACAAGCGGUGGAGCGGUGAAAUGCGUAGAUAUCGCUUGGAACGCCGAAGGUGAAAACAGGUUGCUGGGGAUGUGCCGACGCUGAGACACGAAAGCCAGGGGAGCAAACGGG
rnacentral:rRNA from 1 species